rnacentral:rRNA from 1 species
AGAGUUUGAUCCUGGCUCAGAACGAACGCUGGCGGCGUGCUUAACACAUGCAAGUCGAACGAGAAAGCUCCUUCGGGAGUGAGUAGAGUGGCGCACGGGUGAGUAACGCGUGGGUAAUCUACCCUUGAGAUUGGGAUAACCUGCCGAAAGGUGGGCUAAUACCGGAUAAUACCUGUAUUCGUAAGGAUAUCGGUCAAAGAUGGCUUCGGCUGUCACUUGGGGAUGAGCCCGCGUCUCAUUAGCUAGUUGGUGGGGUAAUGGCCUACCAAGGCAACGAUGGGUAGCUGGUCUGAGAGGAUGAUCAGUCACACUGGAACUGAAACACGGUCCAGACUCCUACGGGAGGCAGCAGUGGGGAAUAUUGCGCAAUGGGGGAAACCCUGACGCAGCGACGCCGCGUGAGUGAGGAAGGCUUUCGGGUCGUAAAGCUCUGUCAGAGGGGAAGAAGGCUAUUAGAUUAAGAGUUGAAUAGUUUGACGUACCCUCAAAGAAGCACCGCUAACU